rnacentral:rRNA from 1 species
AGUGAACGCUGGCGGUAGGCCCAACACAUGCAAGUCGAACGGCAGCACAGGAGAGCUUGCUCUCUGGGUGGCGAGUGGCGGACGGGUGAGGAAUACAUCGGAAUCUACUCUGUCGUGGGGGAUAACGUAGGGAAACUUACGCUAAUACCGCAUACGACCUACGGGUGAAAGCAGGGGAUCUUCGGACCUUGCGCGAUUGAAUGAGCCGAUGUCGGAUUAGCUAGUUGGCGGGGUAAAGGCCCACCAAGGCGACGAUCCGUAGCUGGUCUGAGAGGAAGAUCAGCCACACUGGAACUGAGACACGGUCCAGACUCCUACGGGAGGCAGCAGUGGGGAAUAUUGGACAAUGGGCGCAAGCCUGAUCCAGCCAUACCGCGUGGAUGAAGAAGGCCUUCGGGUUGUAAAGCCCUUUUGUUGGGAAAGAAAUCCAGCUGGCUAAUACCCGGUUGGGAUGACGGUACCCAAAGAAUAAGCACCGGCUAACUUCGUGCCAGCCGCCGCAGUAA